AGGGAAUUGUUCGCAAUGGGCGCAAGCCUGACGACGCAACGCCGCGUGGAGGAUGAAGGUCUUCGGAUUGUAAACUCCUGUCGAGCGGGAAGAACACCCGCCUGGUGAAUAACCGGGAGGGCUGACGGUACCGCUAAAGGAAGCCCCGGCUAACUACGUGCCAGCAGCCGCGGUAAUACGGGGGGAGCAAGCGUUGUUCGGAUUUACUGGGCGUAAAGGGCGCGUAGGCGGCCACCGCAAGUCACUUGUGAAAUCUCCGGGCUUAACCCGGAAAGGUCAACUGAUACUGCGGGGCUAGAGUGCAGAAGGGGCAACUGGAAUUCUCGGUGUAGCGGUGAAAUGCGUAGAUAUCGAGAGGAACACCUGCGGCGAAGGCGGGUUGCUGGGCUGACACUGACGCUGAUGUGCGAAAGCUAGGGGAGCGAAC
rnacentral:rRNA from 1 species